GCCGGUCUCGUCUCUACAUCGCGGGCGAGCGGGAGGAGGAAGAAGGAGCCAGGCCAGGCGGGCCCCAUCUCCACGCGGCCCCACCUGUCGGCGGGCAGGCGUUGACCCCGCCUGCCUAGCUGGAUAAGUGAUGGGCCCCACAGCCCGUGGGACCCGCACGUCAGCGACCCCACGCCCGGCCCCGCCACUGUCCACGUGGAUAAGUGGAAGCGUACUUCGCAGAAGUACGUUUUCGCCUUCAGAAAGCGUGUUUCUCUUCUGCUCCAGUCGUAAGUGCGCUUUCAUAGUUUGAAAACUAUUUUCUUCUUAGGCGCCUUCUGUUUUCUCACUCAGGGGCCUGUUUGUAGAGAUUCUUUUACAAAUCGGUCCCUGAACUUCGUCGGGCUAUAUCUUUUUACUCCCAACUCCAAAUGAGGUGAUUCCAAAGCCCAUUUCUUUGUCUCGUCGAGCCCGUUCUGUUGGUUUCAUUUUCACUAUGGUUUGACACUGUGAAAAUGACCCUUUUUCCCUUGCCCGUAAACAGCCCCUCCGAGAGAGAACUGUUUCUGGCAAAUCUUUCCGCGAGCUUCUCGCACUUCUUCCCUGUGUUUUCUUCAUCCCCAGGCAAGCCACAAUACCCACUUGCAUGAUAGUCAUGCAGUAGCCAUGGUUUUCAACUUGAAUAUUUAUUAAAUGAUUGCUUGUUUAAAAUAUGGUUAUCGUUGUUUUGGUAAUGCUUCUGGGUUAGUGCUUACUUGCUUGAUAUGUUGUUAUGCACCUGGUUAUCAUGCCCUGCUAGUUGCUAGUAUUACUUUCAUAUUUCCAUGCUUGAUAGUAGUACAUGUUGGGUUGGUCAUGUUCUUCGGUGCAUGAUUAACGUCGGUUAUCGAGUACUGUUAAUAUGCGUUCUUCCUUUGCUGUUAGUUGGUUAAGUGUUACUCGGUAAUGUUAUUGAUGAGUUCUUGCAUGGUAUUUAUGGUUGAUGCUAGUGGUCAUGUUUUACUAUGAGUAGUGUUGCACUUGUAAUAGUUAUGCUCGUCAUUAUGCCAUGUUCAGUUGGAGAUUAUUCAUAGUUGAUAUGGUGGAUCGUUAUGUUGUACCCUCAUGCUUAUGUUGAUCUCAUGCUCAUGCUUUGUAUAUGCAUCAUGUUAUUUUAUCAUGGCUCAGCAUAUUGCAUUCAAGUUUAACCAGAUUAAGUUCAACUUGAACAACUGUUGGCUGAGUCAUGGUGCCACCAUAUCGAAACUGACCAGUGCAACCACGCUUACCUUAUGGGAAGGUCCUAACUGGGUCUAUUGUCGUGCCUCUCGCCGGUGCCUCCAACGAGGGAAGGUUAUGGGCGCGCGCUACCCUGAUCAGGUAGGCGGACAUAACCUUGUGUGCCCGUUGUUGUUAUUAUGGAUCCGGUCCCCGUGAGGGACGUUUUGGCCACGACAGUGGUCGUUGUGUCUUUGGUAGAUACGGGGCCACCCAGGACUAGCCCAGUUGGGAGUGGGUCGGAGUGGCCGGGAGAGUGUCAUGGCAAUAGAUCGGUUUUGUCGGAAUGCCAUUGGUCCACCCGAAUGGGAGUGCGAGGCCAUGGGUUCCGUGGUGUGGGUACAGUGUACUAACCUCUGCAGAGUGUAUAUUAAAUCUAUCGAUAGCCGCGCCCGCGGAUAAGGGCCCAGUUCGUGUCGGUCACACCGUGAGUCAACAGUAUUAAUAAUAACUUGAUUAAUGACAACCCCGGUUCGAUGAUGAGAUAAGUUGGUUGUGAUCGCCGGAAAGAUCACCGUUUGAGACCAAGUGUUGGUCAUGGUUGUGAUCGCCGAAAUGAUCACCGUGGUAUCGAGGAUACCGAGUUGUUGGAUAUUCGUGAUGUUGUGCGAGAAUCAUGGGUAAAGAUCAAGCUCCUUGUGGUCAUUUAAUGAUUACUACGGUAUUGUUGAUACCAAGCUUGAUUUGAUCCUGAGAUGAUUGUGUGAUGUCCGAGGUUGGUAAGUGAUGCAUGUGAUGGUUACGUAGUAAGCCGAGCAGAAUAAAUAGUGCAUAUAGUGUCUUCAUGUUGCAUGCUAGUAUCGUCGAAUUCAUAUGUUCAUGCUAUGCUCAUGUUGUUCUAGCUGUAUCAUGUUCAUGUUGCGCAAGUCAUGUUGUUACGAGGAUCUCAUGUUAAUUCCUCCUUAACCUGUAAAUGCCAUGCUGAUGUUUGUCUUGAAUGCUUCUGGUUAAUGUGAGCUUGCAAGUACAUUCAAUGUACUGACCUGGCAUGUCAUGCCAGCUUGCAGGUCGUGCCUGGAUUUCUUGCUUGUUUGGUGUUGUUCCUGUGUUUGCGAGCUAGGAUAAGCAUUCCAGCCAGAGUCCCUGCGGAGUGGAGUUCACCACCGUCGUCGUUGUUCCGCCGCCAGUAGUUGUUGCGCUGCCUCAACUUGCUAUGCUGCUUGCAUAGAGCAACUGAGGAUGGCGUAGUGUCGUCGUGCCGAUGUUAUUCAUUGUAAUAUCGGAGACCUUGUAUUCAUAUUCGUGUAUUAAUAGAAAGCUGGUUUGUUCUAUGCUAAGCAGUGCCGUAUUCCAGAAGACUUCACCUCGAUCUCUAGGCUGGAAUACGGGGCGUUCCGGUUUUCUCUGAGCCGGGGUGCCACAGGCUUGGUAUCAGAGCAGGUCUGGCUGUAGGAUGCCCUAGCCCGCCCGAACGUUAGAAAGCGGUAGUAUAGACCCCAGUUGGUUUGUUGCAUUUGUUUGUCGCAUAGCAUGUAUAUAGAUUAUUAUUUUGUCACUAACGGUUGAUCUUGUGAGUGUAGGCGGCAUCGUUUUCGGUCCACCGCCUGCACCCUCCUUCUUAGCAUGCCUGCUCUUCGGUGUGAUUCGACCACAUCAUCAUCCAUUGCCCUCCAUCUCGUUCUUUUGGCAACCCUUGCUGAUCUUUGUUAUCAGAAAAGGGUAAUGCCAUUAAACCCCGUCUUCCACUGUUAUCUUGCCUUGUCAUUUCAUUCUUUGGACGGGUACGAUUCCCUUCGUACGCUUGAUGAUGAGGUGGUCGUGACUUUUGUGUCUCGCUACUUGAUCGUCAAGUCCGUCCUCACCUGUGUAUCCAUCCAGAUCCAGCCACUGUUCAGCCAGUGCUUGGUGUAGCUUCGGUUACGCCAACUCCUUCCACACAUGGAUAUAAUUUUCGUGCACACCGCCACAGCAUAUUAGACCGUAGUACCGGAGUUUCCAUGUGAUUAGUGUGCUUAGGUGUGCAUGCAUAUUAUGGUGUGAGUAGCAGUAAUAUGUGAAGAUUGCUUGAUUAAUUAUAUUAGUAGUAUGCUUGUGUGCUUUUGUUUUAGUUAUAUCUUUUGUUUGUUUCUUUGGGCCUUUGGUGUUACAAAUUUUCCCCUAUUAAAGUUGCUCGUCAGCCGACACCGGACCCGAAGAGUCAGCAAGAAAUGCAUAUAUUUGGAAACUCGGUUAAACAAGAAUGGAAUUGUCAGCAGACUGCAGUGAAAUUGGAAAUAGCUCGUCUGAAUACAAAAGAAAUCCUGGAUGGAAUGUCAGUAUAAAGUUUGCAUUAACAUGCACUCCUCACAACAGUAUGGAAUUCUCAGCCGACUGCAUUCAGAUUGGGGGAUAUCUGGUCAUGUUACUGAGUGUCAAGUCUCCCUCAGCGUGUACUCCUCAUAGCACAAAUGAUCAAAUCAGCAAGAAGAUAAAUUGUGUGCAUGGUUGAUAAAAUAUUAUCAAAGGUAUGGCUCAGAUACAAGUUUAAUUUUUCGUUGAGGAUCAUUUUGGAACCCGAUGUACCUGGAAGCAAGCAAAAAUAUGGCAUGUACUCAGAAAGGAGGAUAGUCCUGCAAAACCCCGUUUCAUACAAGAAAUCAAGAACAAAAAUUUUAAGAUGGUUAUAUAUGUGGAAAUCGGUUCGCAUAUCACAAUAAGAAGCUUCUGGUGUAAGAAACCCAAUCUUCCCUCGCAAGAUACCCGAGAAGCUUCCAAGGCAAGAUUCAUCUAUCUUCCUCAGUACGAUACAUGGAUGAUUUCCCGUACAAGGUACUCUGCCUUCUUCAGUAAGCUACCGCAAAAGCUUCCGGCAUAAGGUACCGAGUCUUUCCCCAGCAAAGUCUUUAAGGGGGUAAGCUUCUGAAGCACGAUACCCAGUCUUCUUCAGCAAGCUGUCCGAUGAAAGUUUCGAGCACAAACCAGCCAAUCUUCCUCAGUAAGACAUUGGUACAAGGUAGUAUGAUGUGAAUUGAUAGCAUAUGGCAGUGAAUCCCAAGAAUCAGAUCCGCAACAUUUAGGUCAGAAGCAAGAAUCAGUCAGAAUACAUGUCUGUCUCGGGAAUCAGAUUCUCAUAUAUAUGCGGUGAGCAUACCAGCAAGAUCUUACAAGUCACUCAGAUGAGGAUAUGACAACCACGUGAGGAUGGUUAAGAGAAGAAAGCCAGUAUACACCGCAGUGUGACAAAGGAUUAUGAGGAUUGACGACAUCAAUGGCUCAAUGCAAGUACCUGUGAACCUGGAAAAUGAUCCUGAUGAGCCCUUGUCCCCUUUUUUCUCCAAUGAUGGCACCAUGCCUGUGAUCUAAGCUGUUUUUAGCUAUCCGGGGUGGAUGCCGAUUUUUUAUUUCUCUCUUCAACGACUGUCACGAGUUCUGAGCUGCUUUUCGGCCGUCUCAUACAGCUGUUGAGUUUCUUUUUGUGACAGUAGCCCUAUAGCUGCUUUUUGGCUAUUUUAGGGAGCUGCCACCUUCUUCUUAUCAACCCGAUCUCAUGUUCUGAGCUGCUUUUCGGCCGUCCUGCGCCAUGGUUGAGUUAUUUCAGUAAUGUCCCAGAUCUGAGUGGUAAAGACCAUUCUGGUGGCUACUGAUUUAUUUGUCGAUUUCUUGCAAAGGUUUGGAUGAUCAUUUUCCUGCGGUCAGAAUUUGAGGGGUGUUGAACCUGCCAUUUAAUGGGGUACCCUGUCAGAAAAAUGAGGAUAAGCUGCGAUUGCCGAAAAAUUGCACUGACAGUACCUAUGGUGAUACGAAGAAGCAAUAUGACCCAGCUCUUUCAGCCAAGGAUCCUGGCCAAGAAAACAAUAAUGAAGGAGCAAGACCAGUGAUGCAGGUAUGAAAAUUGUUGCAAGACCCGCGUGGUGCAGAACCACCGUCAGUCAAGUCUACAGAUAUUAUCAUACAAGUCAAACUCUUAUGCUAGCCACGACAGGCGACAAUCAAAUAUUUGGUACGGAUCCGAUACUCAAGACAGUGGAACCAGUUAAGAUGAUUCAGAAACUUCCGCGAUAAGCCAGAAUUUGUCAGGAAAGCGGUUAUGACCCAACUCGCUGUUUGGAACCCGAAGGACCUGCAUUUAGUGGAGAAACCCAAUGCAAGGAUUUAGAGCUUGGGUGUCCACUAGAAAAAAUCUGAUCACCACUUCAUGAAAGAUUGUCAAUGCCGGAUGACACACCCAGCAGAAAUCACUCUUGGAUUUGUGAAACCGACGUAUAUUUCAGUCGUGAGAAUCCAUCACAGUCAGCUAAGUCAGCAGAUCUAAAAAGAAAUUGGAGCCUGUAUAAGCAUGAACAAGCAAGGUAAGAUCUGUCAGAAUAUGGAUAUAUUAAAGCAAACCACCCCAGGACCAGUCAGAUAAAAAUUUAGGGGGGACAAAAAUAAGAAAAAGGAUACCCGAGUUGGAAACGGUUUCCUUAAGUCAGUAUCUUCAUACUUGUUCCCUGAGCAACCAAAUCUCGAGGACGAGAUUUCUUUAAGGGGGUAAGGUUUGUAACAGCCUGAUUUUUGGCCCUUUCUUUUUCUUUUGUUUUUCUGAGGUUUUUGCUUGAGUUUUCUUUUUCCGUGGCUUUGUGGUCUGGAAACUGAACAAGAUGCCCUCUUGUUUAUUUCCAGAGUGGCUUGUCAUUCCCAAAUCCUUCCCUAGACCCCGUCAUUUUCAUCCUAGCCCAAAUCCCAAUAUUCUUUUCAUUGGGAAUAUUCCUUUUCUACUAAAGGAAUAACUCAAGUUGCCCUAGGUUGUGAAGCAACCUUUACUUCCAUCACUCCUAAAAUUCCCAAAUAAUUCUCAUAAAUUUUUUGGGUCAUAUCUUUCCCAAAUAUGGUAAAAUAUUUCAUUUGUCAUGUUUAUCAUCAUGCUCAAAUAAUUCAUUUCCUAUUCUACCCUAAAUGGCACAUUGUGAAGCAAGUGCUAUUUUCCUUUUCCCAAGUGACCUCAAACUCCUUGGACACCUUUUCCUGUCCAUAUCAUUGCCACAUGCCAAAAUUCAACCUCAUUUGGCUAGUAAUUAUUUAAUUAUGAUUUUCCAAAGUUUCUAUCCAGAAAGAAGCUUUGUGAAGGAGGUGCAAUCUAGGCAUAUCCAAAUGAGUUUCCAUUUUGCAUGAUCCCUCAUAUCAUCAUAUCAUAGCCCACCACCAAAGUAGAGCUCAUGUCAUGCCUCCAUGUGAGCUCAUCUUCAAUUCUUUGAUUUUGUCCAAACUUUCAGCUUGUGAAGCAAGUAUAUUUUAUCUUGCUCCAUUAUGGCUGCCAAUUUUUCUAGGCCUUCUGUUAUCCAUAUAACCUACCUCCACCCAUUUUGGGCAUCUCUCAUCAAGCCAUUAUUUCUCUAGAAUGUUUCCAAGAUUCUGCACAGAAAUGAUGUUUGUAAAGAAAGUACCAUUUUAGAUGGUCCAUUUGGUAUGAGCUUUUUACAGCAUCUUUAUAUUUCCAUAUCAUGAGGAUUUGCCAAGUUGCAUCCCAUUCCAUAACUCCAUGUGAGUGCAUCAUCCAAAUCAAGUUUCUGGACCAAAAAUGCAGUUGCAAAGCAACCCUAUUAUUUAUUGGUCCAUUUCUUCUCUAAAUCUCCAGUAUUGUAGUUCUUCCUUAGUUAAACCUCCCAGACAACUCCUUUGACCUCAAUCAAGUCUCUGUGGAUUAGCAGUGCUCGUCCAAGUUUACUGCAGUAAACUUCAGAGCUUGAUUACCAUUUAACCAGAGAGAUUUUAACCAAACUACCACCGCAGUAGGAACCUCCCCUGGAUGAACUUGCCACUAGACAACACGCUCCAGCUCAUUUCCCCCGCUACAUGCCAGUGCACGCGGUGACCGCGUUAAUGGCAAGCCUGUGCGCGCGCUCUGCUACAAUUGGCCACACCGAGGAUGGAUUCUUGCUCGGGCCCCUCCUCCUCUCAUCGUCUUAGCACGCGUGAGCAUGUCCCUUGGCUUCACCUCGUCGUCGCCGAUCACAUGGACCCCGCUCCCCCUCAGGCAGCUUCCUCACCGACGAAAGCCGCAGCGUGCCCACGGGCGCACAGUGGCGUUUGGCUCGGUUCAUCGCCGUCGCCUUCCUCCCUGCGCUCCGUUGGCCUCCUCUGCCCCGUGAGACACUCCACUGCUCCUCCCCCGUCGUCUACCAGCGAGCUCAUGCGCGUGCACACGCGUCCGCGGCACCGGACACGCGUCCGCGGCGGCGCCAGCGCGACACUCCCUCGCCCGGCUAUAUAUAGCCAUCCCCGCGGCCUCCCGAGCACCUCAUCAGCCUCGCCUCACUCCCAGCUUCCUCCUCGUCCACUAGCCCGAGCUCGAGCAGCUCUCCUCGACCCCCAUCGCCGCCAUGCCCGCCGCUCUGCUCAGCUCAAAUUCGAGCUGGGCAGUGCCCCUCCCCCUCUCUUUCCACCACCAGUAGACUCCUCCUCCACCUAGACUUCGCCCCCGUGCUCUCCCUCCCCUCCGGUGGCCUUCUGCCAUGAGCUCGCCGCCGACCGAAGAUCGCCGUCCGCCGCGGCUGGCCUCCCGCUCAGCCGAGCCCUACCCCGCGGCUGCAUCUUGCCUGGAUGGAUCCGCCUCGUCGCGCUGAUCAUGCCGGUAGGUCGCACGCCGCGAGAGGUGGCCGGAGUGGCCGGGAAUCCGCGUCGGGCCGUCGGUCUCGUCUCUACAUCGCGGGCGAGCGGGAGGAGGAAGAAGGAGCCAGGCCAGGCGGGCCCCAUCUCCACGCGGCCCCACCUGUCGGCGGGCAGGCGUUGACCCCGCCUGCCUAGCUGGAUAAGUGAUGGGCCCCACAGCCCGUGGGACCCGCACGUCAGCGACCCCACGCCCGGCCCCGCCACUGUCCACGUGGAUAAGUGGAAGCGUACUUCGCAGAAGUACGUUUUCGCCUUCAGAAAGCGUAUUUCUCUUCUGCUCUAGUCGUAAGUGCGCUUUCAUAGUUUGAAAACUAUUUUCUUCUUAGGCGCCUUCUGUUUUCUCACUCAGGGGCCUGUUUGUAGAGAUUCUUUUACAAAUCGGUCCCUGAACUUCGUCGGGCUAUAUCUUUUUACUCCCAACUCCAAAUGAGGUGAUUCCAAAGCCCAUUUCUUUGUCUCGUCGAGCCCGUUAUGUUGGUUUCAUUUUCACUAUGGUUUGACACUGUGAAAAUGACCCUUUUUUCCCUUGCCCGUAAACAGCCCCUCCGAGAGAGAACUGUUUCCGGCAAAUCUUUCCGCGAGCUUCUCGCACUUCUUCCCUGUGUUUUCUUCAUCCCCAGGCAAGCCACAAUACCCACUUGCAUGAUAGUCAUGCAGUAGCCAUGGUUUUCAACUUGAAUAUUUAUUAAAUGAUUGCUUGUUUAAAAUAUGGUUAUCGUUGUUUUGGUAAUGCUUCUGGGUUAGUGCUUACUUGCUUGAUAUGUUGUUAUGCACCUGGUUAUCAUGCCCUGCUAGUUGCUAGUAUUACUUUCAUAUUUCCAUGCUUGAUAGUAGUACAUGUUGGGUUGGUCAUGUUCUUCGGUGCAUGAUUAACGUCGGUUAUCGAGUACUGUUAAUAUGCGUUCUUCCUUUGCUGUUAGUUGGUUAAGUGUUACUCGGUAAUGUUAUUGAUGAGUUCUUGCAUGGUAUUUAUGGUUGAUGCUAGUGGUCAUGUUUUACUAUGAGUAGUGUUGCACUUGUAAUAGUUAUGCUCGUCAUUAUGCCAUGUUCAGUUGGAGAUUAUUCAUAGUUGAUAUGGUGGAUCGUUAUGUUGUACCCUCAUGCUUAUGUUGAUCUCAUGCUCAUGCUUUGUAUAUGCAUCAUGUUAUUUUAUCAUGGCUCAGCAUAUUGCAUUCAAGUUUAACCAGAUUAAGUUCAACUUGAACAACUGUUGGCUGAGUCAUGGUGCCACCAUAUCGAAACUGACCAGUGCAACCACGCUUACCUUAUGGGAAGGUCCUAACUGGGUCUAUUGUCGUGCCUCUCGCCGGUGCCUCCAACGAGGGAAGGUUAUGGGCGCGCGCUACCCUGAUCAGGUAGGCGGACAUAACCUUGUGUGCCCGUUGUUGUUAUUAUGGAUCCGGUCCCCGUGAGGGACGUUUUGGCCACGACAGUGGUCGUUGUGUCUUUGGUAGAUACGGGGCCACCCAGGACUAGCCCAGUUGGGAGUGGGUCGGAGUGGCCGGGAGAGUGUCAUGGCAAUAGAUCGGUUUUGUCGGAAUGCCGUUGGUCCACCCGAAUGGGAGUGCGAGGCCAUGGGUUCCGUGGUGUGGGUACAGUGUACUAACCUCUGCAGAGUGUAUAUUAAAUCUAUCGAUAGCCGCGCCCGCGGAUAAGGGCCCAGUUCGUGUCGGUCACACCGUGAGUCAACAGUAUUAAUAAUAACUUGAUUAAUGACAACCCCGGUUCGAUGAUGAGAUAAGUUGGUUGUGAUCGCCGGAAAGAUCACCGUUUGAGACCAAGUGUUGGUCAUGGUUGUGAUCGCCGAAAUGAUCACCGUGGUAUCGAGGAUACCGAGUUGUUGGAUAUUCGUGAUGUUGUGCGAGAAUCAUGGGUAAAGAUCAAGCUCCUUGUGGUCAUUUAAUGAUUACUACGGUAUUGUUGAUACCAAGCUUGAUUUGAUCCUGAGAUGAUUGUGUGAUGUCC
rnacentral:lncRNA from 1 species